GGUAUUGGUUCAGUGGUAGAGUGCUUGCCUAGCAUGUGUGAAGUCCUGGGUUUGAUUCUCAGCACCA
rnacentral:tRNA from 1 species